GCUGGGAUGGCCGAGUCGUUAAGGCGAGUGAUUUGAAUUUCGCUUAUGUAAUCACGAAGCUUACGUAAGCACCAAAUUAUCACUUGGUGUUUCACCGCGUAGGUUCAAAUCCUGCUCCCAGCG
rnacentral:tRNA from 1 species